GACGAACCGGACGAACGUUAUUCGGAAUUAUUGGGCUUAAAGGGUGCGUAGGCGGUGUGGCAAGUUGGAUGUGAAAUCCCUCGGCUCAACCGAGGAACUGCGUCCAAAACUGCCACGCUAGAGGGAGACAGAGGUGAGCGGAACUUGCGGUGGAGCGGUGAAAUGCGUUGAUAUCGCAAGGAACACCCGUGGCGAAAGCGGCUCACUGGGUCUCUUCUGACGCUGAGGCACGAAAGCUAGGGGAGCGAACGGG
rnacentral:misc_RNA from 1 species